GUUGAUAAUGACAAUGAAGAGGAUCAUUAUGGGGAUAUAGUGAGUUCUGAUGGAGAAGAUGAAGGUGGACAAGAACAAGCUAAACCAGGUGGGCCUGAAUGUAAUGCAACUCACCAGUUUAAUGGAC